GACGAACGCUGGCGGCGUGCCUAAUACAUGCAAGUCGAGCGAAGUUUUUCUGGUGCUUGCACCGGAAAAACUUAGCGGCGAACGGGUGAGUAACACGUAAAGAACCUGCCUCAUAGACUGGGACAACUAUUGGAAACGAUAGCUAAUACCGGAUAAUAGCAUUAACUGCAUGGUUGAUGUUUAAAAGUUGGUUUUGCUAACACUAUGAGAUGGCUUUGCGGUGCAUUAGCUAGUUGGUGGGGUAAAGGCCUACCAAGGCGACGAUGCAUAGCCGACCUGAGAGGGUGAUCGGCCACACUGGGACUGAGACACGGCCCAGACUCCUACGGGAGGCAGCAGUAGGGAAACUUCCGCAAUGGGCGAAAGCCUGACGGAGCAACGCCGCGUGAGUGAAGAAGGAUUUCGGUUCGUAAAGCUCUGUUGUUAGGGAAGAAUGAUUGUGUAGUAACUAUACACAGUAGAGACGGUACCUAACCAGAAAGCCACGGCUAACUACGUG
rnacentral:rRNA from 1 species